rnacentral:rRNA from 1 species
UACGUAGGUGGCAAGCGUUGUCCGGAUUUAUUGGGCGUAAAGCGCGCGCAGGCGGUUUCUUAAGUCUGAUGUGAAAGCCCUCGGCUUAACCGAGGAGGGUCAUUGGAAACUGGGAGACUUGAGUGCAGAAGAGGAAAGUGGAAUUCCAAGUGUAGCGGUGAAAUGCGUAGAGAUUUGGAGGAACACCAGUGGCGAAGGCGACUUUCUGGUCUGUAACUGACGCUGAGGCGCGAAAGCGUGGGGAGCGAACAGG